GGGCUCACACAAGCGGUGGAGGAUGUGGCUUAAUUCGAGGCUACGCGAAGAACCUUAUCCUAGAUUUGACAUGCUUGAGAGUCUCUAUGAAAGUAGAGAGUGCCCUUCGGGGAGCUCUUGCACAGGUGCUGCAUGGCUGUCGUCAGCUCGUGUCGUGAGAUGUCGGGUUAAGUCCCUUAACGAGCGAAACCCUUAUCUCUAGUUGCCAGCGGGUAAUGCCGGGGACUCUAGAGAGACUGCCGGUGUCAAACCGGAGGAAGGUGGGGAUGACGUCAAGUCCUCAUGGCCUUUAUGUCUAGGGCUGCACACGUCCUACAAUGGUACGGACAAACGGACGCAAUACCGCGAGGUGGAGCAAAUCCUAGAAACCGUACCUCAGUUCGGAUUGCAGGCUGCAACUCGCCUGCAUGAAGCCGGAAUC
rnacentral:rRNA from 1 species